rnacentral:rRNA from 1 species
UAGUUGCCAUCAGGUAAAGGCUGGGAACUCUGGGGAGACUGCCGGUGAUAAACCGGAGGAAGGCGGGGAUGACGUCAAAUCAUCAUGCCCCUUAUGACCUGGGCUACACACGUGCUACAAUGGUUGGUACAACGAGUUGCGAGUCGGUGACGGCGAGCUAAUCUCUUAAAGCCAAUCUCAGUUCGGAUUGUAGGCUGCAACUCGCCUACAUGAAGUCGGAAUCGCUAGUAAUCGCGGAUCAGCACGCCGCGGUGAAUACGUUCCCGGGCCUU